GGUUGGGAUCCCGCUAACAUGUUUAACCCCGCUACAUUAUUUACGUAUGUGCCUGUCCCAAGUCAGGAGCCUGUAAUUCAGUGGUUGUCGUUUGUUUAUGUGUUACAUAUUUGUUUUUCCUUCAUUUUUUUUUAAUAUAAAUAAGGCUGUUAGUUUUCUCGUUUGAAUUGUUUUACAUUGUCUUAUCAGGGCCUUUUAUAGCUGACUAUGAGGUAUGAGCUUUGCUCAUUGUUGAAGGCCAUACGGUGACCUAUAGUUGUUAAUGUA
rnacentral:lncRNA from 1 species